rnacentral:rRNA from 1 species
ACUAACAAGGAUUCCCCUAGUAACUGCGAGUGAAGCGGGAAAAGCUCAAAUUUAAAAGCUGACGGUCUUUGGCCGUCCGCAUUGUAAUCUAGAGAAGUGUUACCCGCGUUGGACCGUGUACAAGUCUCCUGGAAUGGAGCAUCAUAGAGGGUGACAAUCCCGUCUUUGACACGGACUCCCAAGGCUUUGUGGUGCGCUCUCAAAGAGUCGAGUUGUUUGGGAAUGCAGCUCAAAAUGGGUGGUAAAUUCCAUCUAAAGCUAAAUAUUGGCGAGAGACCGAUAGCGAACAAGUACCGUGAGGGAAAGAUGAAAAGAACUUUGGAAAGAGAGUUAAACAGUACGUGAAAUUGCUGAAAGGGAAACGCUUGAAGUCAGUCGCGUCGUCCGGAGAUCAACCUUGCUUUUGCUGGGCGUACUCUCUGGUUGACGGGCCAGCAUCAGUUUUGGCCACUGGAAAAGGGCGGAAGGAAUGUGGCAUCUUCGGAUGUGUUAUAGCCUUCCGUCGUAUACAGUGGCUGGGACUGAGGAACUCAGCACGCCGCAAGGCCGGGAUUUUAUCCACGUUCGUGCUUAGGAUGCUGGCAUAAUGGCUUUAAUCGACCCGUCUUGAAACACGGACCAAGGAGUCUAACAUACCUGCGAGUGUUUGGGUGGAAAACCCGAGCGCGUAAUGAAAGUGAAAGUUGAGAUCCCUGUCGUGGGGAGCAUCGACGCCCGGACCAGACCUUUUGUGACGGAUCUGCGGUAGAGCAUGUAUGUUGGGACCCGAAAGAUGGUGAACUAUGCCUGAAUAGGGUGAAGCCAGAGGAAACUCUGGUGGAGGCUCGUAGCGAUUCUGACGUGCAAAUCGAUCGUCAAAUUUGGGUAUAGGGGCGAAAGACUAAUCGAACC